rnacentral:lncRNA from 1 species
UCACAGAUGCUCAGGUCCACAUAGGGGUUCCUUCUUCUGACAAGGUCCGCAGCAGCCUUACUCAAGAGCAUUUUUGUAUUCCCAGGACAAAGCAGAAUUCCGAGCACCCUCCAGGGCAUUUAAAUGUGGCCAGGCCUCACCUCAGUGCCUAGAGGACACCGCUUACCUUACCCUGGUCCAUCUGGCCAUUGGAGAAGUCCAGGACUGCAUUUCCCAGGAGGCCGUAGGGCCAAGUAUGCUGCAGGGUGAGUCGUCAAAGCCUGAGAACCGCACUGGGAGCAUUGUCAACGAAAAACUGCACCAGGCAAGUUAAACAGGUAAGGAAGAUUUUAUUAGAUUGUCGCAGUGGAGAAGAGAGACUGAACUCAACUCAAUAUAUAACAGUAGCUGGGAUUUAUAUCCAAGGGGCAGGGUGAGGGAGUCAGUGGAUAGCAAAUUACUAAGAGGAGCUUGGUGAAAUAUCAAAAGCAGUGGGAUUCUUGCUGAACUAGGGUCAGCAGGUCAAGGACGAGACCCAGUCAAGAGGAGAACUCAGAGGAGCCUGACUCCAGUUUGGUCGACGGAAUCCUAGUCAGCUGACACUCGCGGAAGCCCCCGGUGCGCUGCUCAGCGGGAAGACACAGUUUUGGCUCUGCUUUGCUUGCACAGAGGCUUCCAGAGUGGAGUAAAGAAUGGCUGUUGAACAUCCACAAGGCUCCUGCAAGGGAUUUGUGCUAUUCAGGGAUGUGUCUAUAGACUUUUCUCAGGAAGAAUGGGAAUGCCUGGACUCAACUCAAAGGAAUUUGUACAAAUAUGUAAUGUUGGAGAAUUAUAGCAACCUGGUCUCAAUCGGUAAGUAUACCUUUCUUCAAAAAGUCUAG